GCUGAUGUAGCUCAGUAGGUAGAGCACAUCCUUGGUAAGGAUGAGGUCAAGGGUUCGAGUCCCUUCAUCAGCUCCA
rnacentral:tRNA from 1 species